CACAGAACUGUUACGCUUCGCAGAGAGCCCGUUGGUGGCUUGGGCCUGAGUAUAAAGGGAGGUGCCGAGCACAGGGUCCCUGUCGUCAUAUCGAGGAUAUUCAGAGGCCACGCAGCUGACCAGACAGGGAUGUUGUUCGUAGGAGAUGCCGUGCUGCAGGUUAACGGCAUUAACGUAGAAGAUGCAACCCAUGAAGAAGUGGUG